UCCAUCAAAUUGAGGGAAAGGUAAUAUUCUAAGUCCUCCUGGCCAGUGCCCACUCUUCCAACUUAUCAGCCAUGGCAGAAGAAAUUAGUUCUUCAAAAAAAAGAUAUGCAAUUGUGACAGGGGCAAAUAAAGGGAUUGGCUAUGGAAUUUGCAGGCAGUUAGCUUCUAAUGGAAUCACAGUGGUAUUGACUGCUAGAAAUUUGAAGAGGGGACUUGAAGCUAUUGAGAGUUUUAAAGGGCUUGAUUUCUUUGACAAUAUAGUUUUUCAUCAGCUUGAUGUGGUUGAUCCUUCAAGUAUUGCAUCUCUUGCUGAAUUCAUCAGAAUACAUUAUGGAAGACUUGAUAUUCUGGUGAAUAAUGCAGGGAUUGGUGGAGUUGAUGUAGAUGUUGAUGCUUUAAGAGCUUCUGGAUAUGGAUCUGGUGGACCUGAUGGAUCACAUAUAGAUUGGAAUGGCAUCUUGACUGAGACAUAUGACUUGGCAGUAGAAUGUCUGCAGACAAACUACUAUGGUGCAAAAAGAAUGAUUGAAGCAUUUCUUCCUCUCCUUUACUUAUCUGAUUCACCAAGGAUCGUAAAUGUUUCUUCGUCAAUGGGAAAGUUAAAGCACAUACCCAGUGAAUGGGCUAAAGGAGUACUAAAUGAUUCUGGAAACCUUACAGAGGAGAGAGUGGAUGAGGUGGUGAAUGAAUUUCUCAAGGAUUUUAAGGAGGGUUCACUUAAAGCAAAAGGUUGGCCUCCAUCUAUGUCAGCAUAUACAGUUUCAAAGGCAGCUAUGAAUGCAUAUACUAGGGUUCUUGCUAAAAAGCACCCAAAGUUUCGUAUAAAUUGUGUUUGUCCUGGUUUUGUAAAAACAGAUGUAAACUUCAAUACUGGUCAUUUAACUGUUGAAGAAGGUGCUGAAAGUCCAGUAAGACUAGCUCUGCUGCCUGAUGAUGGUUCUUCUGGUUUGUUCUUUGUUCGAAAUGAAGUUUCUUCUUUUGAAUAAAGUAUUGAAGGAACACUUGAAAUGAAGAUGAUGUAUUAUCUUACUAUACAACUUAUGGUAAAGUUCAAAUGGUUCUUUCACUGCUGACAGAUUACUCAUCCAAAUUGCUUAACCAAGAUGCCACUCCAUAGCAGGUUAUAUGCUCAGAGUCAAUGAUUAUGAGUUCUGAAUUCGACUGCACUAGACAUCUAAGGGUUUGACACUUGAAUCUGACCUAAUGGUCUCAGUUCCAGUUGUCCAUGUAUCAUCUGUACCAGAAAUGCUCUCACUCUCAAUUGUCAGUGUAUGAUGCAUAUCAGAAGUCAGUACAGAUCCUUCGUCCAUGCAACUUGGACUAUGAUAAUUUGCUUGGAUAGUUGAAUCCCUUUUGGAUAUUUUAAUGGCUUCCAACUCAAUAGCUACUUCCUUCAUAGUUGGUCUUCUCUCCUGACUUGA